UUCCUACUAUCCCUGACUGGUUAGUGU
rnacentral:piRNA from 1 species